AUACAUGCAGCUAAUCCUGCUCUGAACCACUCGUAUCCAAACCGUCCCGGCCUAUAAAUCAAGCCAUUUCCCUUGCGUUUCAUCAUCAAGCGCAAUAAGAUCAAAGCAAUAAGCUCCAUCUCGCAGCAAAGUGAAGAAUAAACCAUCUGGGUCCAAGCUCAACUACCAAUCUACGAUGGAGAUGAAGAAGAUCGCCUUCGCCGCCCUCAUGGUCGCCGCCUCGGCCACCGCCGUUGUGGCCUCCGAAGCAGCACCCGCCAGCGACGCCAACACCGUGGCAGCCGCCCCCGCCGCGGCCCUCGCCGCCGUCUCCUUCAUCGCAUAUUUCCUCUACUGAUGGGGACAAGGCAUGAGGGAGAUUGAUAUUAGCAUCACCUCAGUUGCACCCGCGCAUGCAUACAUGCGAACAAUGCGGUGUUGGCUUUUUCUCUAAUUUCAUUUCAUUUGUAAUCCGAUUAUGUGAACUGGUGAUGAUACGAGUUAUUUGAAUAUAUAUAAUUUUCAUCCUGUCAUAUA
rnacentral:rRNA from 1 species